GCAUUAUAAGGACAGCCCUGCCAGCUGAGGUCUCAAGUGCUCUGGUCUGCUUUUUGUUCUUCCUAACCAAAGAUGAAGUUCAGCCAGGAUGCUCCUGGGCUUAAGGUCAAGUUGUGCUCUAAUUUGGCAACAACAGUUCUUACUUAAUAUCACUGAUUGUUCCAACAAAGCAGCCACACUACCACAGCCUCAUGCACAGUACGUGUUUGUCGGAGUGAAUUGUGUGUGACCUUUUAUUUUUUUCUCUCCAAAGGCUUUUUACCCUACGUUGUUUUUAUGGAUUCACUUGGACAGGAGAAGAUCACAGAUCCCAUCGUAGGCAUGUCUAUGCUGAGUCUGUGUUUCUGCCCUGAGUCGAGAAUCUCUUUUUAUCUGUGUCACGUCUGUGAGGAAGUGUGCCCACCAAGCACUAUUAUAAGCCACAUCACUUCCGGGAGCCAUUAUGUCAACUACUCUAUGUUGCAUUUACCUGAAAAUCUGAUAAAUCAGCUUCAUUCUAGUGGCUCAUACUCAAAAGUUAUGAGCGUGCUUAGUGGAAAUGAAAAGCUACUCAAGCAGAUUAAAGCUUCUCAACCAAAGAGGACGAUGAUCCAGACAUAUCUAAAAAACAAAAGCAAGAGUCACCCACUUGUAGGCAUGCAGCAUAUUGUUGAAUGCAUCUGUGCCGGGCCACAUGAGAAGAGGCAUUAUCUCUGCACGCUCUGCAAACUGACUGUGACCACAAACCAGAUCAUCAAACAUGUGCUGAGCUUUGAUCACAUCCACUGGUUCUUUAAAGAAUGGCAUCCCUCUACACUGAGGCCAAAGGGGUGCUACAAGGAAGGCAGCGCCACCUUUUCCUCCAUGAUUGUUGACCUCUCACAGCAGGCAAAUAAAAUUCAUGAGGCUGAAAGUAAUGAUAUGAAGGAAGUGAACCUGCAGCCUGCUGAAUUCGAUUCAGUGAAUUUUACAUCUUACACAGAAGGUUGGUGUGAAGUUUUUAUAGCGCUGGUCAAUGUUUUUCAUUCCUGAAACCUAAAAAGACGUUUUAAUAUUUAUACCCUAUGUUUAUUUUUAGCUUUGACUAAACUGGAAUCCAUCAAGAAGCUCAACUUAACAACAAGCAUCAAACCAGGGAACAAACUGGGUAUGUUUGUGUAAAUCAGUCUGCCUGCUGUGGAGGACUACAACUGCCACACGUAAUACAUUCAUUAGCAAUUAAAGGCAACAAAAUAAUACAAAUAAAUC
rnacentral:lncRNA from 1 species